rnacentral:lncRNA from 1 species
CCCAGGUGAGCUCAGGUGAGCUCAGGUGAGCCCAGGUGAGCUCAGCUGUGCCCAGGUGUGCCCAGCUGUGACCCAGGUGUGCCCAGCUGGAGCACACCUGGGUCACACCUGGGGGCAGAUUGGGAUACCUGGGUCACACCUGGGUCACACCUGGGUCACACCUGGGUCACACCUGGGGGGGACUGGGAUACCUGG